CCAAAGGCAGGACCGGACAGACUCUGCCCUGUUUUCUUUGGAAGCCAUUUGUCACUGUCAAAAACACAUAGUGGCCUCUCUUUUAGCUCUAUUCAAACAAGAAUAUAAUUUGUAUCCUGACGUUUCCCUGAAAAUAGCAAGUUUCAUUUGUCACCCGGGUGGUUUUCAAGCUUCAUAUCCACUGUUGUAAAGGGUGUUUUUUGUUGCUAAUAGAACUAAAAUCUCAGCACAUUCACUUCCAACCCAAAAUGAAAUGCAACCUUUCAGUGUGACGCAGGCUUUCUUCCUACUCUGUUUCCUGUCAUAAUCUAUGUUUUGGUAAGUAAGAGGAUGAAUGGACUAUGCCUUAUGCUUAUAAAACACCUUUUAUUUUACCAUCUGUAAGCCUUAGCUAAACACUGCUGAUAGUCCAG
rnacentral:lncRNA from 1 species